rnacentral:sRNA from 1 species
AUUCGGACUCGGGGCGGGCCUGCACGAGGGCAUCGGCUCCACAGGGACCAGUCAUCCCCAAAACGAGGGGAUAUCAGCUUACCGAGGCCGCAGGUUUUCCUAGUCCCUACCUCAUAGAUAUGUAGGACAUCCCCGGGCCCGGAAUGCGGCUCUCUGACCCUCUCUGUGCCCUUCCCCGCCCCCCGAACCAGGCUUGGCGGGCGGAGGCGCCAGCGGAUGUCUCAUGCAAGGAUCGUCUCUGUGGCUAAGCCUCACUUUCCGCUCCGCCCGGGUGCUCUCUAGAGCCCGGUUUUUCGAGUGGCAGUCCCCAGGGCUGCCGAAUACAGCAGCGAUGGAGAACGGCACCGGGCCCUAUGGAGAAGAACGCCCACGUGAAGUCCAGGAGACGACAGUCACCGAGGGGGCUGCCAAAAUCGCCUUUCCCAGUGCCAACGAGGUCUUUUAUAACCCGGUGCAGGAAUUCAAUCGGGACCUGACGUGAGCAGGGGUCAGACGUUAGCCUGGCAUCGGCUAGUGGGAAGGCCUGCAUGUGCUGGAAGGCCU